AACGAACGCUGGCGGCAGGCUUAACACAUGCAAGUCGAACGCCCCGCAAGGGGAGUGGCAGACGGGUGAGUAACGCGUGGGAAUCUACCCAGUUCUACGGAAUAACCCAGGGAAACUUGGACUAAUACCGUAUACGCCCUACGGGGGAAAGAUUUAUCGGAAUUGGAUGAGCCCGCGUUGGAUUAGCUAGUUGGUGAGGUAACGGCUCACCAAGGCGACGAUCCAUAGCUGGUCUGAGAGGAUGAUCAGCCACACUGGGACUGAGACACGGCCCAGACUCCUACGGGAGGCAGCAGUGGGGAAUAUUGGACAAUGGGCGCAAGCCUGAUCCAGCCAUGCCGCGUGAGUGAUGAAGGCCUUAGGGUUGUAAAGCUCUUUCAGUGGGGACGAUAAUGACGGUACCCACAGAAGAAGCCCCGGCUAACUUCGUGCCAGCAGCCCGGUAACAC
rnacentral:rRNA from 1 species